UUCAUUUUUAGCUUUCAUCGUGUCGGUUCGAAUCGAUAGACUUUAUAACCGAUCAACUUCCUGUCGGCUCAGCCCCUGCCGAGCCAAUGAACACCUUUUUGGAACCAACUAUAUAUGAUUAUUUUAAUAAAUGGCAGAUUUAAAUGAGAAGAGAUAUUUUUUAUCAAUGUUUGUCUUCAACUAAAUGGUUUAAUUUUGUUUUUAGUGACAUGAUUAUGCUAAUUACAGCUUUUACGCAUAUUCCUGCCAUACCUGUAGAAAUGAUUUUUAUCGGUCAUUUUGGUUUCACAGAAAAAUCUUGUUCCGGAAGUUGCAUCACCACCACUACUACCGUUACCGCUGUCGUUCCGG
rnacentral:lncRNA from 1 species